GCCGGGCAUAGUGGCACAUGCCUGUAGUCCCAGCUACAUGGGAGGCUGAGGCAGGAGGAUCUCUUGAGCCCAGGCAGUGGAGGCUGCAGUGAGCUGAGAUUGCACCACUGCACUCUAGCCUGGGCAACAAAGUGAGACCCUGGCUCAU
ensembl:misc_RNA Metazoa_SRP Metazoan signal recognition particle RNA